UUGAUGUUUCGUGAUUAAGGUUUCUUGAAUUUGAAAUAGAAGUAUUUGAUUGAGGUUUCUUAAAUUUAGAAGGGAGAAAAUGACAUGUCAUAUUAUUAUUAUUAUUAUUAUUAUUAUUAUUAAAGUAGUGAGUUUAAAUGUAAUUCAUUAUAUAAAUUAGACUGUAACUUAUAAUUUAAUUAUAUUGUUGGCAGAGUGUUGAAUUGAUGAUGUUUUUGAUAAGGGUGUUUCACCCUACACCUCCAACCUCUCAUCCUGCAUCUUUAAAAGUUUCAAUUUUAAUCUUGAUUAAUAUUUUUUUUAGUUUUUUCUCUUUUUUUCAUAAGUCACUCUGCA
rnacentral:lncRNA from 1 species